GCGGUACCGGUUCACGCCCGGCGGCAUCGCCGCGGCGACCCGGCGACC
rnacentral:ncRNA from 1 species